rnacentral:lncRNA from 1 species
GGGUUGUUCAGAUGCUGUGCACGUCUCCUGCCCAUCAGGAACCACUGCAUGUCUUCCAAGCUGUCCAUAGUCUGCUCUGCCCCAGGUGAAUACCUUCCCAGUUUCUGUCUGUGCCACCAGGUGAGUCCAACCACUCCAAACUGCUCCAAUCUUUUCAUGUGAGAAAAACUGAGUGUCUAUCUUCUUGGGCUCAACAAGAAAUACCUCCUUGCUCACCAGCUGCCCGUGUUUGUUGCUACCCCAGACAUAGAGGUGUCCUUCACCUGUAAGAGACACACAAUGGUAGGAGCCUGCAGCAACUCUCUUCACCUUCACAUCUUCCAGGCCUUUUAUUUCACAGGGUUCCUUCGCAGCC